rnacentral:rRNA from 1 species
UACAGAGGUCUCAAGCGUUGUUCGGAUUCAUUGGGCGUAAAGGGUGCGUAGGUGGCGCCGUAAGUCAGGUGUGAAAUUUCGGAGCUCAACCCCGGAACUGCAUUGGAUACUGCCUUGCUUGAGUACUGGAGAGGGAACUGGAAUUUACGGUGUAGCAGUGAAAUGCGUAGAGAUCGUAAGGAAGGCCAGUGGCGAAGGCGAGUUCCUGGACAGUGACUGACGCUGAGGCACGAAGGCCAGGGGAGCAAACGGG